rnacentral:rRNA from 1 species
ACGCUCGACACCUACUGGAGGCAGCAGUGGGGAAUAUUGCACAAUGGGGGAAACCCUGAUGCAGCGACGCCGCGUGAAGGAAGAAGUAUUUCGGUAUGUAAACUUCUAUCAGCAGGGAAGAAAAUGACGGUACCUGAGUAAGAAGCACCGGCUAAAUACGUGCCAGCAGCCGCGGUAAUCUGAGCGGCGUGGCAAGGC